GUCGAGCGGUAGAGAGGUGCUUGCACCUCUUGAGAGCGGCGGACGGGUGAGUAAAGCCUAGGAAUCUGCCUGGUAGUGGGGGAUAACGCUCGGAAACGGACGCUAAUACCGCAUACGUCCUACGGGAGAAAGCAGGGGACCUUCGGGCCUUGCGCUAUCAGAUGAGCCUAGGUCGGAUUAGCUAGUUGGUGAGGUAAUGGCUCACCAAGGCGACGAUCCGUAACUGGUCUGAGAGGAUGAUCAGUCACACUGGAACUGAGACACGGUCCAGACUCCUACGGGAGGCAGCAGUGGGGAAUAUUGGACAAUGGGCGAAAGCCUGAUCCAGCCAUGCCGCGUGUGUGAAGAAGGUCUUCGGAUUGUAAAGCACUUUAAGUUGGGAGGAAGGGCAUUAACCUAAUACGUUAGUGUUUUGACGUUACCGACAGAAUAAGCACCGGCUAACUCUGUGCCAGCAGCCGCGGUAAUACAGAGGGUGCAAGCGUUAAUCGGAAUUACUGGGCGUAAAGCGCGCGUAGGUGGUUCGUUAAGUUGGAUGUGAAAUCCCCGGGCUCAACCUGGGAACUGCAUUCAAAACUGUCGAGCUAGAGUAUGGUAG
rnacentral:rRNA from 1 species